rnacentral:rRNA from 1 species
GGGUUGUGAGGUUAAGCGACUAAGCGUACACGGUGGAUGCCCUGGCAGUCAGAGGCGAUGAAGGACGUGCUAAUCUGCGAUAAGCGUCGGUAAGGUGAUAUGAACCGUUAUAACCGGCGAUUUCCGAAUGGGGAAACCCAGUGUGUUUCGACACACUAUCAUUAACUGAAUCCAUAGGUUAAUGAGGCGAACCGGGGGAACUGAAACAUCUAAGUACCCCGAGGAAAAGAAAUCAACCGAGAUUCCCCCAGUAGCGGCGAGCGAACGGGGAGGAGCCCAGAGCCUGAAUCAGUGUGUGUGUUAGUGGAAGCGUCUGGAAAGGCGCGCGAUACAGGGUGACAGCCCCGUACACAAAAAUGCACAUACUGUGAGCUCGAUGAGUAGGGCGGGACACGUGGUAUCCUGUCUGAAUAUGGGGGGACCAUCCUCCAAGGCUAAAUACUCCUGACUGACCGAUAGUGAACCAGUACCGUGAGGGAAAGGCGAAAAGAACCCCGGCGAGGGGAGUGAAAAAGAACCUGAAACCGUGUACGUACAAGCAGUGGGAGCCUCUUUAUGGGGUGACUGCGUACCUUUUGUAUAAUGGGUCAGCGACUUAUAUUCUGUAGCAAGGUUAACCGAAUAGGGGAGCCGAAGGGAAACCGAGUCUUAACUGGGCGUUAAGUUGCAGGGUAUAGACCCGAAACCCGGUGAUCUAGCCAUGGGCAGGUUGAAGGUUGGGUAACACUAACUGGAGGACCGAACCGACUAAUGUUGAAAAAUUAGCGGAUGACUUGUGGCUGGGGGUGAAAGGCCAAUCAAACCGGGAGAUAGCUGGUUCUCCCCGAAAGCUAUUUAGGUAGCGCCUCGUGAAUUCAUCUCCGGGGGUAGAGCACUGUUUCGGCAAGGGGGUCAUCCCGACUUACCAACCCGAUGCAAACUGCGAAUACCGGAGAAUGUUAUCACGGGAGACACACGGCGGGUGCUAACGUCCGUCGUGAAGAGGGAAACAACCCAGACCGCCAGCUAAGGUCCCAAAGUCAUGGUUAAGUGGGAAACGAUGUGGGAAGGCCCAGACAGCCAGGAUGUUGGCUUAGAAGCAGCCAUCAUUUAAAGAAAGCGUAAUAGCUCACUGGUCGAGUCGGCCUGCGCGGAAGAUGUAACGGGGCUAAACCAUGCACCGAAGCUGCGGCAGCGACGCUUAUGCGUUGUUGGGUAGGGGAGCGUUCUGUAAGCCUGCGAAGGUGUGCUGUGAGGCAUGCUGGAGGUAUCAGAAGUGCGAAUGCUGACAUAAGUAACGAUAAAGCGGGUGAAAAGCCCGCUCGCCGGAAGACCAAGGGUUCCUGUCCAACGUUAAUCGGGGCAGGGUGAGUCGACCCCUAAGGCGAGGCCGAAAGGCGUAGUCGAUGGGAAACAGGUUAAUAUUCCUGUACUUGGUGUUACUGCGAAGGGGGGACGGAGAAGGCUAUGUUGGCCGGGCGACGGUUGUCCCGGUUUAAGCGUGUAGGCUGGUUUUCCAGGCAAAUCCGGAAAAUCAAGGCUGAGGCGUGAUGACGAGGCACUACGGUGCUGAAGCAACAAAUGCCCUGCUUCCAGGAAAAGCCUCUAAGCAUCAGGUAACAUCAAAUCGUACCCCAAACCGACACAGGUGGUCAGGUAGAGAAUACCAAGGCGCUUGAGAGAACUCGGGUGAAGGAACUAGGCAAAAUGGUGCCGUAACUUCGGGAGAAGGCACGCUGAUAUGUAGGUGAAGCGACUUGCUCGUGGAGCUGAAAUCAGUCGAAGAUACCAGCUGGCUGCAACUGUUUAUUAAAAACACAGCACUGUGCAAACACGAAAGUGGACGUAUACGGUGUGACGCCUGCCCGGUGCCGGAAGGUUAAUUGAUGGGGUUAGCGGUAACGCGAAGCUCUUGAUCGAAGCCCCGGUAAACGGCGGCCGUAACUAUAACGGUCCUAAGGUAGCGAAAUUCCUUGUCGGGUAAGUUCCGACCUGCACGAAUGGCGUAAUGAUGGCCAGGCUGUCUCCACCCGAGACUCAGUGAAAUUGAACUCGCUGUGAAGAUGCAGUGUACCCGCGGCAAGACGGAAAGACCCCGUGAACCUUUACUAUAGCUUGACACUGAACAUUGAGCCUUGAUGUGUAGGAUAGGUGGGAGGCUUUGAAGUGUGGACGCCAGUCUGCAUGGAGCCGACCUUGAAAUACCACCCUUUAAUGUUUGAUGUUCUAACGUUGGCCCCUGAUCGGGGUUGCGGACAGUGUCUGGUGGGUAGUUUGACUGGGGCGGUCUCCUCCUAAAGAGUAACGGAGGAGCACGAAGGUUGGCUAAUCCUGGUCGGACAUCAGGAGGUUAGUGCAAUGGCAUAAGCCAGCUUGACUGCGAGCGUGACGGCGCGAGCAGGUGCGAAAGCAGGUCAUAGUGAUCCGGUGGUUCUGAAUGGAAGGGCCAUCGCUCAACGGAUAAAAGGUACUCCGGGGAUAACAGGCUGAUACCGCCCAAGAGUUCAUAUCGACGGCGGUGUUUGGCACCUCGAUGUCGGCUCAUCACAUCCUGGGGCUGAAGUAGGUCCCAAGGGUAUGGCUGUUCGCCAUUUAAAGUGGUACGCGAGCUGGGUUUAGAACGUCGUGAGACAGUUCGGUCCCUAUCUGCCGUGGGCGCUGGAGAACUGAGGGGGGCUGCUCCUAGUACGAGAGGACCGGAGUGGACGCAUCACUGGUGUUCGGGUUGUCAUGCCAAUGGCACUGCCCGGUAGCUAAAUGCGGAAGAGAUAAGUGCUGAAAGCAUCUAAGCACGAAACUUGCCCCGAGAUGAGUUCUCCCUGAGACUUUAAGUCUCCUGAAGGAACGUUGAAGACGACGACGUUGAUAGGCCGGGUGUGUAAGCGCAGCGAUGCGUUGAGCUAACCGGUACUAAUGAACCGUGAGGCUUAACCUUACAACGCCGAAG